rnacentral:rRNA from 1 species
UGGGGAAUUUUGGACAAUGGGCGCAAGCCUGAUCCAGCAAUGCCGCGUGUGUGAAGAAGGCCUUCGGGUUGUAAAGCACUUUUGUCCGGAAAGAAAACUUCCUGGUUAAUACCCGGGGAGGAUGACGGUACCGGAAGAAUAAGCACCGGCUAACUACGUGCCAGCAGCCGCGGUAAUACGUAGGGUGCAAGCGUUAAUCGGAAUUACUGGGCGUAAAGCGUGCGCAGGCGGUUCGUUAAGACAGAUGUGAAAUCCCCGGGCUUAACCUGGGAACUGCAUUUGUGACUGGCGGACUGGAGUAUGGCAGAGGGGGGUAGAAUUCCACGUGUAGCAGUGAAAUGCGUAGAGAUGUGGAGGAAUACCGAUGGCGAAGGCAGCCCCCUGGGCCAAUACUGACGCUCAUGCACGAAAGCGUGGGGAGCAAACAGGAUUAGAUACCCCCGUAGUCC